rnacentral:misc_RNA from 1 species
AUUCUAAUUUUAGUCAAUUUAUUGUCACUUGUCAGUGCUUGACUGCUUGAAUUAUUUUCUUUGACUGAAAUUUUGUCAGUCAUCAAAAACAUUCCAUUUGUUCAUUGUAAUUUUUAAAAUUGUUAUAUUUUCUUCAGACAACAAUGGAAUUCAGAUUUAAUCUCAAUGAAUUUUUAAGAGGUGACAUAUCAAAGAUUAAUAAAAAUCUUUUACCAGAUAGUUUCAACGGUGACAGAAGGGCUGCGGCGAAAUGUAUUGGUUAUGUGUCCGAAAUAAUGGAUACGAUGGGACUAGCAUCUGCCAAAGCACAAGCACUUUUAAAACCCAUCACAAGUGCAGAGAAAUUAAGAAAUUCCAACUAUGACGUUUAUCUGCUAGCAGAUCUGGAAUCAAACAAUGGUAAAGGAACAGUUGUUGGACUUUUGAAAGUGGGCCGGAAAAAUCUGUACAUGUUUGAUGAGACGGGCAUGACACAUGAAAGAAAAGCUCUCUGCAUUCUGGACUUCUACGUGUACGAGUCGAGUCAACGUAAAGGAUACGGAAAACGACUAUUUGAACAUAUGCUUCAUGAGGAGAAUGUGUUGCCCCAUGAAAUGGCAAUUGAUAAGCCGUCUGAAAAGUUCCUAGCUUUCCUGUUCAAGCACUACGGUCUUCAAAAUAUCAUUCCUCAGUCAAAUAAUUUUGUCAUCUACGAGGGAUUCUUUGACUACCUCAAAUCAGAUGUUGCUAAUGGUACAAAAGGUGCAGCCUCCAAACAGUCUGGAAACGAUAAUUAUGAGUCCGAAGCACAACAUUCAUUCAUGAAUCACCAGGACUCGAUUAUGCCUGACGAGUACGGACAGUCAAAGUACGGCAGACAUGCAGCCUACAAGCCUGUAUCAACUAUUGGACAGGAAGAUGAAGGAGAGGAUAAACCUGAAUAGGAAUCCUGUAUUGCGUCAAAUGAAUUCAGAUAUAGUCCAGUCAUCUGCAAAUAUUGAAAUACCAAAAAACGGAUCAUGAGCACGAGCCUGCAACAAGAGGUGCCGCCGAGUGAUUACACACUCAACGAGUCCUACGACACGUUCUCGUCGCAGAGCACGCAGUGUGAUGUGGACAACGCUCGCUACGAUCUCAAAUACAACCAUUCUACUCUUUGGUAGUGUUGAGCACAUCACUUUCAUGUUUUUUAUCAAUUAUUCUAACCUCAAA